rnacentral:rRNA from 4 species
ACCUGGUUGAUCCCUGCC